rnacentral:rRNA from 1 species
CAUGCAAGUCGAGGGGCAGCAUGAACUUAGCUUGCUAAGUUUGAUGGCGACCGGCGCACGGGUGAGUAACACGUAUCCAACCUGCCGAUGACUCGGGGAUAGCCUUUCGAAAGAAAGAUUAAUACCCGAUGGCAUAGUUCUUCCGCAUGGUAGAACUAUUAAAGAAUUUCGGUCAUCGAUGGGGAUGCGUUCCAUUAGGUUGUUGGCGGGGUAACGGCCCACCAAGCCUUCGAUGGAUAGGGGUUCUGAGAGGAAGGUCCCCCACAUUGGAACUGAGACACGGUCCAAACUCCUACGGGAGGCAGCAGUGAGGAAUAUUGGUCAAUGGACGAGAGUCUGAACCAGCCAAGUAGCGUGAAGGAUGAAGGUCCUACGGAUUGUAAACUUCUUUUAUAAGGGAAUAAAACCUCCCACGUGUGGGAGCUUGUAUGUACCUUAUGAAUAAGCAUCGGCUAACUCCGUGCCAGCAGCCGCGGUAAUACGGAGGAUGCGAGCGUUAUCCGGAUUUAUUGGGUUUAAAGGGAGCGUAGGCGGACGCUUAAGUCAGUUGUGAAAGUUUGCGGCUCAACCGUAAAAUUGCAGUUGAUACUGGGUGUCUUGAGUACAGUAGAGGCAGGCGGAAUUCGUGGUGUAGCGGUGAAAUGCUUAGAUAUCACGAAGAACUCCGAUUGCGAAGGCAGCUUGCUGGACUGUAACUGACGCUGAUGCUCGAAAGUGUGGGUAUCAAACAGGAUUAGAUACCCUGGUAGUCCACACAGUAAACGAUGAAUACUCGCUGUUUGCGAUAUACAGUAAGCGGCCAAGCGAAAGCGUUAAGUAUUCCACCUGGGGAGUACGCCGGCAACGGUGAAACUCAAAGGAAUUGACGGGGGCCCGCACAAGCGGAGGAACAUGUGGUUUAAUUCGAUGAUACGCGAGGAACCUUACCCGGGCUUGAAUUGCAACUGAAUGAUGUGGA